CCUACGGGAUACAGCAGUGGGGGAUAUUGCACAAUGGGGGAAACCCUGAUGCAGCGACGCCGCGUGGGCGAAGAAGUAUUUCGGUAUGUAAAGCUCUAUCAGCAGGGAAGAAGAAAUGACGGUACCUGACUAAGAAGCACCGGCUAAAUACGUGCCAGCAGCCGCGGGAAUACGUAGGGUGCAAGCGUUAUCCGGAUUUACUGGGUGUAAAGGGAGCGUAGGCGGCACGGCAAGCCUGAUGUGAAAGCCCGCGGCCCAACCGCGGGACUGCAGUGGAAACUACCGGGCUGGAGUGCCGGAGAGGUAGGCGGAAUGCGUAGUGUAGCGGUGAAAUGCGUAGAUAUUAGGAGGAACACCAGUGGCGAAGGCGGCCUACUGGACGGUGACUGACGCUGAGGCUCGAAAGCGUGGGGAGCGAACAGGAUUAGAUACCCGUGUAGUC
rnacentral:rRNA from 1 species